rnacentral:rRNA from 1 species
UACGGAGGGUGCAAGCGUUAUCCGGAUUUACUGGGUUUAAAGGGUGUGUAGGCGGACUUUUAAGUCAGCGGUGAAAUCUCCGGGCUCAACCCGGAACUGCCAUUGAUACUAUAGGUCUUGAAUGUUGUUGAGGUGGGCGGAACGGGUCAGUGGUAGCGGUGAAAUGCAUAGAUAUGACCCGGAACACCGAUUGCGAAGGCAGCACGUCUGGGACGUGACUGACGCUGAGACGCGAAAGCGU